UACGAAGGGGGCUAGCGUUGCUCGGAAUCACUGGGCGUAAAGCGCACGUAGGCGGACUCUUAAGUCGGUGGUGAAAUCCUGGAGCUCAACUCCAGAACUGCCUUCGAUACUGGGAGUCUCGAGUCCGAGAGAGGUGAGUGGAACUGCGAGUGUAGAGGUGAAAUUCGUAGAUAUUCGCAAGAACACCAGUGGCGAAGGCGGCUCACUGGCUCGGUACUGACGCUGAGGUGCGAAAGCGUGGGGAGCAAAAGGG
rnacentral:rRNA from 1 species